GGGUUGCGGGGGCCUUCCUUGACACGGAAGAGGUCGGAGGUUCAAAUCCUCCAGCGACCCA
rnacentral:tRNA from 1 species